GAAUAUUGCACAAUGGGCGCAAGCCUGAUGCAGCGACGCCGCGUGGGGGAUGACGGCCUUCGGGUUGUAAACUCCUUUCGACAGGGACGAAGCGUUAUAGUGACGGUACCUGUAGAAGAAGCACCGGCUAACUACGUGCCACCCGCCGCGGUAAUACGAAGGGUGCGCGCGUUGUCCGGAAUUACUGGGCGUAAAGAGCUCGUAGGUGGUUUGUCGCGUCGUCUGUGAAAUCCCGGGGCUUAACCUCGGGCGUGCAGGCGAUACGGGCAUAACUUGAGUGCUGUAGGGGAGACUGGAAUUCCUGGUGUAGCGGUGAAAUGCGCAGAUAUCAGGAGGAACACCAAUGGCGAAGGCAGGUCUCUGGGCAGUAACUGACGCUGAGGAGCGAAAGCAUGGGUAGCGAACA
rnacentral:rRNA from 1 species